AGUCUUGUAGUAUAACAAUUUACAUAUGAUUGCAAAUCGUAAAAAGGAGAAAGAUUCUCCCGGGGCUU
rnacentral:tRNA from 1 species